ACUGAAAGAGCCUCUCUCUAGGUCCCUCUCUCUCUCCUCUCUCUCUCUCUAACACAAUCUGGAUGGGGGACGACAGUGAAGGUCCCUAUCUCUCACUCUUCUCUCUCUCUACCACAAUCUGAAGAGAUGACGGCAGUGAAGGGUGGUUGUGGUGGUGGGUUAGGGGCGGCGGUGGGUGAUUUUGUAGUGGGUGAAGGUGAGGGGGUGGUUGUGGUGGUGAGUUAGGUGCGGUGGCGGCAGUUGAUGGGUGAAGGUGAAGGGGUGGAUGUGGUGGUGGGUUAGUUCGACAACGGUGAGUGAUUUGGUCGCGACAGCGUUGGGUGGAGGUGAAGGGUGGUUGUGGUCGUAACGUUUAUGCCGUUUCACAGAAUAUUCAUAACUCAAAAUCUUACAAAACCAAAUUCCCCUCGUCGGCCGGUCUUCUUCACAUCGGAGCAUAUUCCGGCAGGUUCCAUUGUUGCUCGAAAACCAGAACGAAGGGGAAAAAAGUAUUCAAGGUGAAAUUGGAGUGGUGGGAGUUGUGUAGUGUGAAGAAUGGCGGGGAGUUUGAGUGAGGAAUCCGGGCAGCAGCGUUCCGGGGAGGCAAGUGAUGACGACUCAGACUGUGUAUUGGUCGUUCCACUUUUCUAGCAAGGUUCCGACAUCUCAGGCGAGCGAUGAUGGUGGCGGGUGGAGUUCUUGAAUUCCAAAUAUAAACAGAGAGAGAGAGAGUUUAUAUAUUUUUUUAUUUUUAAGUUUUGUAAAAAUAGUCCCUGAAUAAAAGUUCUUUACAAAAUAGUC